rnacentral:misc_RNA from 1 species
AACGAGGCCGACCUGCGGCUGAGUUACCUGCGGAAGGAUCAUUAAAAAGAGUGUGUACCCCUCUGUAAAAUGAGUGGGUUACCUCCCGUCCUUUGUUGACCUCUUAGGAGGUUAUUUUGAACUUUCUGCUUCGGUGGGGUUAAACCUACCGGAACACCCUCAAAUUCUUAUCAUUUAAAAAUUGUUCAGUCUGAUUUUUGUUAAUAAAAACAAAAAACUUUCAACAAUGGAUCUCAGAUC